rnacentral:rRNA from 1 species
UACGUAGGGGGCAAGCGUUGUCCGGAAUCAUUGGGCGUAAAGAGCGUGUAGGCGGCUCGAUAAGUCUGCUGUGAAAGUCCAGGGCUCAACCCUGGAAGGCCGGUGGAAACUGUCGGGCUAGAAUCCGGAAGAGGCGAGUGGAAUUCCCGGUGUAGCGGUGAAAUGCGCAGAUAUCGGGAGGAACACCAAUGGCGAAGGCAGCUCGCUGGGACGGUAUUGACGCUGAGACGCGAAAGCGUGGGGAGCGAACAGG